UUCUCCGGCCAUACCACCCUAAAGGCACCCCAUCUCGUCUGAUCUUGGAAGCUAAGCAGGGUCGGGUCUGUUUACUACCUGGAUGGGAGACCACCUGGGACUACUAGGUGCUGUAGUAU
rnacentral:rRNA from 1 species